GAUGAACGCUGGCGGCGUGCCUAAUACAUGCAAGUCGAGCGAACAGAUGAGGAGCUUGCUCCGCUGACGUUAGCGGCGAACGGGUGAGUAACACGUGGAUAACCUACCUAUAAGACUGGGAUAACUUCGGGAAACCGGAGCUAAUACCGGAUAAUAUAUUUAACCGCAUGGUUCAAUAUUGAAAGACGGUUUUGCUGUCACUUAUAGAUGGAUCCGCGCCUCAUUAGCUAGUUGGUAAGGUAACGGCUUACCAAGGCGACGAUGCGUAGCCGACCUGAGAGGGUGAUCGGCCACACUGGAACUGAGACACGGUCCAGACUCCUACGGGAGGCAGCAGUAGGGAAUCUUCCGCAAUGGGCGAAAGCCUGACGGAGCAACGCCGCGUGAGUGAUGAAGGUCUUCGGAUCGUAAAACUCUGUUAUUAGGGAAGAACAAAUGUGUAAGUAACUAUGCACGUCUUGACGGUACCUAAUCAGAAAGCCACGGCUAACUACGUG
rnacentral:rRNA from 1 species